GGAGAGGUGGGUGAGCGGCUGAAACCACCGGUUUGCUAAACCGGCGUACCUCUAUAAGGGGUACCGAGGGUUCGAAUCCCUCCCUCUCCG
rnacentral:tRNA from 1 species